AGAAAAUAAGGACAAAUAAGACUUUCUCCAAAUAUCCUGGGAUGAAGGACACUGAAGGGAAAUUCUCACUUUUGGUACCUAGCCGCCAUACCAUGAGGAAGCCUAGGUCGACUGCAGGACGACCCACACUGACAGGUCCACAGCCCUGAUGAGCCCUUGGGUGGUGGCAAGCACCAAUUUGCCGUCUUGAAAUCGGGUCCUGCGGAUCCUAGUCAAGCAGCCCCAAAUGAUGCUGUGAGGAAGAACCCACAGAGAAGUAUAGCAAUAAUUUGUGGAUGGGGCUUUAAAGCAGUCACCUUUUGCAGGACACCUGCUUCUUUAAGAUAGUUGUAAGAAGACUACAGGCUACAUUUUCACCUCUGAAGUCAUGAAAAUAUGGUAGUAAUUAUCCAAGAUUUUUAACCAUAGUGCAAGAUAUCAAGAAGUUUUAAAUAAAGAAGAGAACGAGGUAACUUUUUGAUCUUUGGGUAAUCAGGAAACGACAAGAGUUUCUGAACCAAACUAUAUUAAUCUCUUAAGUUUUCUGCUUUAUUUGAAAAUUAGGCCACUGCUUCUUUGGCUCCCUGAUUUCCCAGAGCACCCUCAUCCUGAGUGUUUUCCUCCAGUAAACACUGGGCUCACCUAUUGGUUUAUUUUUAUCAUUUAAAAAAUCAAACUGCAAUCACGAGUCACGUGUUUGGCAGCCUUCUGUCUUAAAGAAGCAGCACCAGCAUACCUGAAGCCCAGGUGAGCAGAGCUCUGGCCUCAAGACGACAGGGUUGCAGCAGAAGUAGGAACAUAAUGGGCCUUGGAAGGGAAGCCUAUGCAGUGUACGUGGCCAGCACACAUCGCCACAUGAAAUGAUGGCAUCUAGAGGCAGGGGCAGCACUAGAUGUGGUUCCCGUUAGUCCUGCGGAGCACUUUCUGAACUAGAAGAUGAUCUACAAAUAUGAGUUGUUGAAUAAACUGGUCUCAGUGAGAUGUUGCAGUAGUUCAGGCAGUGCUUACGUACCCUGGAGCCAACUCUCAUGUAUGCUAAGAUUGCAAUGAAGAUCAAACAGGACGACAGUCACCAUCAGUGAUGUCCGCUAUAUUAAAGUGAAUAAAAUGGUGGCCUUUGCCAAAAAGCACAGAAGGGCAAUAUGUCAUCCUAAGUCGAUCUAAGUAAAAAGUCAGCAAAAUACCUCAAUCCCUCCCCCUACACAUAUGUGAAGCGGUUUGCUGGUCCAGGUCUUGCAGAUGAGGAAAUGAGAUGAAAAAAGUUUACUAGAGACUGUGUCUUCCUGCUGCCUCCUUGCUGCCUGGCCGCUUGGAUACACCCACUUCCUGUGUGACCACACUCUCCCUGGCCACAGGUAUUGGGCCAAGGUAAAUGCUUGCUAGGGACCCCAGGACUCCAGGAGAUUGGUCUGGUAGGAAAGCAUGAGCUAUUGCAAUCUGAUCUUUCCUCUCUGGACAUGGAAU